rnacentral:rRNA from 1 species
UACAGAGGGUGCGAGCGUUAAUCGAAAUGACUGGGCGUAAAGGGUGCGUAGGUGGUUAUUUAAGUUAGGUGUGAAAGUCCUGGGCUUAACCUGGGGAUUGCGCCUAAUACUGAAUAGCUAGAGUACUGUAGAGGAAAGUGGAAUUUCCGGUGUAGCGGUGAAAUGCGUAGAUAUCGGAAGGAACAUCAGUGGCGAAGGCGACUUUCUGGACAGAUACUGACACUGAGGCACGAAAGCAUGGGGAGCAAACAGG